rnacentral:rRNA from 1 species
AUGUUGUGGUACACGGGAACAACUGAAAACAGAAAUGGAGUAGGUAUCUUGAUCAACAAGAGCCUCAAAUAUGGAGUGGUAGACAUCAAGAGGUGUGGGGACCGGAUUAUCCUGGACAAGCUGGUAGUUGGGGACUUAGUUCUUAAUGUUAUCAGCGUGUAUGACCCACAAGUUGGCCACAAUGAGAACACCAAGAGGGGGUUCUUGGAAGGCCUGGAGGGCAUGGUUAGGAGUGUGCCUACUGGCGAAAAGCUCUUCAUAGGAGGAGACCUCAAUGGCCACGUGGCUACAUCUAGCACAGGUUUUGAAGGGGUGCAUGGUGGCUUUAGCUAUGGCAUCAUGAAUCAAGAAGGAGAAGAUGUCUUAAGCUUCGCUCUAGCCUACGACAUGAACAUAGCUAACACCCUCUUUAAAAAAAGAGAAUCACAUCUAGUGACUUUUAGUAGUGGUCAACACUCUAGCCAGAUUGAUUUCGACCUCUCGAGAAGAGAAGACAGACGUGCUUGCCUAGAUUGUAAGGUGAUACCUAGAGACUGUUGUCCCUCAACAUAA